rnacentral:rRNA from 1 species
AAGAAGCACCGGCUAACUCCGUGCCAGCAGCGCGGUAAUACGGAGGGUGCGAGCGUUAAUCGGAAAUUACUGGGCGUUAAAGCGCAUGCAGGCGGCCUGUUAAGUCAGAUGUCGAAAGCCCCGGGGCUUAACCUCGGAAUUGCAUUUGAAACUGGCAGGCUAGAGUCUUGUAGAGGGGGUAGAAUUUCAGGUGUAGCGGUGAAAAUGCGUAGAGAUCUGAAGGAAUACCAGUGGCGAAGGCGGCCCCCUGGACAAAGACUGACGCUCAGAUGCGAAAAGCGUGGGGGAGCAAACAGGAUUAGAUACCCCUGGUAG